rnacentral:rRNA from 1 species
AUUUAAAGCGGUACGCGAGCUGGGUUCAGAACGUCGUGAGACAGUUCGGUCCCUAUCUGCCGUGGGCGUAAGAAGAUUGAGGAGAGUUGACCCUAGUACGAGAGGACCGGGUUGAACCAACCACUGGUGUAUAAGUUGUCCUGCCAAGGGCACCGCUUAGUAGCUAAGUUGGGAUGUGAUAAGAGCUGAAAGCAUCUAAGCUCGAAGCCAACUCCAAGAUUAAUCUUCUUUUAAGAGCUCUUAUAGACUAUAAGU